rnacentral:RNase_P_RNA from 1 species
GAUGGCAGAUGAUCGCUGGUGAAUCGCAGGAUUCGCUGGAGGAAAGUCCGAACACCACACGGCAACAUGCCGUCCCGCGAAGGCGGGACGGGCGCCGUUUCCGAAAGGGAGCGGCGACGGAAAGUGUCACAGAAAAGACGAGGCAGGAAAAACCCCAUGCGGUGCAAGACAAAACAGAGGGAGGACAGCCGGUCCGUCGAUCCUCGGGUUCGUCGCAUCACGGUCCCGCCACUGCGGGAUCGGGCGGUUCCGCGAAGGCGGGAUUGAGAUAAAUGAUCAUCGCCCAGCUUCUUUGCUCGCAAAGAGCUGUGGGACAGAAUUCGGCUUACCGCCGUCAAAU